GUGAACCAGCGGAGGGAUCAUUACCGAGUGUAAAAACUCCCAAACCAUUGUGACUACCACUGCUAUACACCUGUUGCUUUGGCGGGACCCACCGGGGCCACCUGGUGGGCGCGUUCGCGCGGCCCGGACCCAGGCGUCCGCCGGAGGCUCCAAACUCUUGUCUUUUGUGUAUUUCUGAGUGGCAUAAGCAAAUAAAUCAAAACUUUCAGCAACGGAUCUCUUGGUUCUGGCAUCGAUGAAGAACGCAGCAAAAUGCGAUAAGUAAUGUGAAUUGCAGAAUUCAGUGAAUCAUCGAAUCUUUGAACGCACAUUGCGCCCGCCAGUAUUCUGGCGGGCAUGCCUGUCUGAGCGUCAUUUCAACCCUCAGGACCCGUUCGCGGGACCUGGCGUUGGGGAUCAGCCUGCCCCUGGCGGCGGCUGGCCCUGAAAUCCAGUGGCGGUUCCCUCGCGAACUCCUCCGUGCAGUAAUUAAACCUCUCGCGGCAGGAUAGCGGUUGAACCACGCCGUUAAACCCCCCACUUCUCAAGGUUGACCUCAGAUCAGGUAGGAAUACCCGCUGAACUUAA
rnacentral:rRNA from 1 species